rnacentral:rRNA from 1 species
UACGAAGGGGGCUAGCGUUGCUCGGAAUCACUGGGGCGUAAAGCGCACGUAGGUGGCUUGUUAAGUCAGGGGUGAAAUCCUGGAGCUCAACUCCAGAACUGCCUUUGAUACUGGCGAGCUUGAGUUCGGGAGAGGUGAGUGGAACUGCGAGUGUAGAGGUGAAAUUCGUAGAUAUUCGCAAGAACACCAGUGGCGAAGGCGGUGACUCUGGGCCGGAACUGACGCUGAGGAGCGAAAGCGUGGGUAGCGAACAGG